CAGAUGACGGGUUCUAACGAGUUCAAGUUGAACCAGCCGCCGGAGGACGGCAUCUCUUCUGUGAAGUUCAGCCCCAUCACCUCCCAGUUCCUGCUGCUCUCCUCCUGGGACACGUCGGUGCGCCUUUACGAGGUGCCAGCCAACUCCAUGCGGCUCAAGUACCAGCACGCUGGCGCGGUCCUGGACUGCGCGUUCUAUGACCCAACGCGCGCAUGGGGUGGGGGAUUAGAUCAUCAGCUGAAAAUGCAUGAUUUGAACACUGAUCAAGAAAACCUUGUUGGAACCCACGAUGCCCCAAUUAGAUGUGUUGAAUACUGUCCAGAAGUGAAUGUGUUGGUCACUGGAAGUUGGGAUCAGACAGUUAAAUUGUGGGAUCCAGAACUCCUUGUAAUGCUGGGACCUUCUCUCAGCCUGAAAAGGUCUACACACUCUCAGUGUCUGGAGACCGGCUGAUUGUGGGCACAGCAGGCCGCAGAGUGUUAGUGUGGGACUUACGGAGCAUGAGCUAUGUGCAGCAGCGCAGGGAAUCCAGCCUGAAAUACCAGACUCGCUGCAUCCGAGCAUUUCCGAACAAGCAGGGUUAUGUAUUAAGCUCUAUUGAAGGCCGAGUGGCAGUUGAAUACCUGGACCCAAGCCCUGAGGUGCAGAAGAAGAAGUAUGCCUUCAAGUGUCACAGGCUAAAAGAAAAUAAUAUUGAGCAGAUUUAUCCAGUUAAUGCCAUUUCCUUUCGUAAUAUCCACAAUACAUUUGCCACAGGCGGUUCUGAUGGAUUUGUAAAUAUUUGGGAUCCAUUUAAUAAAAAGCGACUGUGCCAGUUUCAUCGGUACCCCACCAGCAUCGCAUCACUUGCUUUUAGCAAUGAUGGGACUACGCAUGCAAUAGCAUCAUCAUAUAUGUAUGAAAUGGAUGACACAGAACAUCCUGAAGAUGGUAUCUUCAUUUGCCAAGUGACAGAUACAGAAACAAAACCCAAGUCCGCCUAAUCAUCUCGUGAAAGUGGUUUCUCUAUGGAAAGCUUUGUUUGCUUCCUACAAGUGCAUGCUUAUCCCCUAAGGGAUGUGUUGUAGUUACUAUGGCCCUGUUGUUUAG